CUCAUACACUUGGGGUGCCCCCUUGCGGGGCUGAGAGGUGCCAGGCACCGACCCAUCGAACCUGAUCCGGGUCAUGCCGGCGUAGGGAAGGGUAGAGUGCGACGG
rnacentral:ncRNA from 1 species